UACGUAGGGGGCGAGCGUUGUCCGGAGUUACUGGGCGUAAAGGGUGCGCAGGCGGCGUCACGCGUGGCUAGAUGAAAUCUCCUGGCUUACCUGGGAGGGUGGUAGCCAGACGGUGGCGCUUGAGGGUCGGAGAGGGGCGUGGAAUUCCGGGUGGAGCGGUGAAAUGCGUAGAGAUCCGGAGGAACACCGACGGCGUAGGCAGCGCCCUGGACGACACCUGACGCUGAGGCACGGAAAGC
rnacentral:rRNA from 1 species